rnacentral:rRNA from 1 species
CGGGUGCGGUUUAAAACGCAUCGGAUGAACUGUGGAUAGGGGCGAAAAACCAAACGAACCCGGAGAUAGCUGGUUCUCCUCGAAAUAGCUUUAGGGCUAGCCUCUGACCUAAGAUUUUAGGAGGUAGAGCACUGAAUGGUCUAGGGCGGAUUACCGUACCAAAACCUAUCAAACUCCGAAUGCCAAAAAAUCAAGUCAGGGAGUCAGACUUAGGGGGAUAAGCUUCUAAGUCGAAAGGGAAACAGCCCAGACCGACAGCUAAGGUCCCAAAAUUUGAAUUAAGUGGAAAAGGAUGUGAAUCUACUAAGACAACCAGGACGUUGGCUUAGAAGCAGCCAUGCAUUUAAAGAAUGCGUAAUAGCUCACUGGUCAAGUGGGUUUGCGCCGAAAAUGAACGGGGCUCAAAUUCAAUACCGAAGCUUCGGAUUAAUAGAGGGAUUAAGUUUACAAAUGAGACUAGGAAAUAUUUAACAAAAACAGAAGAGAUUAAAAAGAAAAACAAAUUUCAGACGCAGACAUAAAAGAUAGGAUAUUAAAAAGAAAUAUUCAAAAAACACAAGUCUAAAGUCAAAAGUGAGUAACAUAAGAAAUUAUGAACUAACAAUCACUGGUUAAGAGUUAAAAACUAGGACUCAUAGCUAAACUUAAUACCUCUAUUAGUGGUAGAGGAGCAUUGUAUUAGAGACGAAGCCAAGGCGAAAGCAAAAGUGGAUCUAAUACAAGAGAGAAUGCUGGCAUGAGUAGCGAGAAGGGAUGUGAGAAUCAUCCCCGUCGAAACCCUAAGGACUCCUGAGCAAGGCUCGUCCCCUCAGGGAAAGUCGGGACCUAAGCCAAGGCCGAAAGGCGUAGGCGAUGGAUAACAGGUUUAUAUUCCUGUACCGCUUGAAGUCGUUAAGAGAGAAGUGAUGACGCAAAAGGAUAAGCAAAGCCAUCAGAUGGAAAAGAUGGUCUAAAGCCGUAGGAAGAAAAGUAGGCAAAUCCGCUUUUCACAAAUUCUAAAAGCCGAUAGGUAUCGAAAACAUAAGUAGAGAAGUUGCCGAUUCCAGGUUGCCAAGAAAAGUCACUAUCCAGACCAAAGCGCCCGUACCAAAACCGACACAGGUAGGGAGGUAGAGAAUACCAAGACGCGCGGAAGAACCUUUGUUAAGGAACUCGGCAAAAUGUCCCCGUAACUUCGGGAGAAGGGGAGCCUGAGCAAUCAGGCCACAGAAACCAGGCCCAAGCGACUGUUUACCAAAAACACAAGUUUCUGCAAAAUCGCAAGAUGAAGUAUAGGAGCUGACACCUGCCCGGUGCUGGAAGGUUAAGGGGAAGGCUUAGAGCAAUCGAAGGCUAGAACUUAAGCCCCAGUAAACGGCGGCCGUAACUAUAACGGUCCUAAGGUAGCGAAAUUCCUUGUCGGGUAAGUUCCGACCCGCACGAAAGGUGUAACGAUUUGGGCACUGUCUCAACAAAGGAUCCGGUGAAAUUGUAGUAGUCGUGAAGAUGCGACUUACCCACGCUAGGACGGAAAGACCCCGUGGAGCUUUACUGUAGGCUGAUAUUGGAUUUUGAGAUUAAAUGUACAGGAUAGUUGGGAGACUGAGAUAUCUGGAUGCCAAUCUAGGAGGAGUCACUGGUGGGAUACCAACCUUUUAAUAUCAAAGUUCUAACCAUAGCCCUUGAAUCAGGGCAUGGGACAUUGUCAGUUGGGCAGUUUGACUGGGGCGGUCGCCUCCUAAAAAGUAACGGAGGCGUUCAAAGGUUCGCUCAGAAUGGACGGAAACCAUUCGCAGAGUAUAAAGGCAGAAGCGAGCUUAACUGCGAGAGCUACAACUCAAGCAGAGUCGAAAGACGGACUUAGUGAUCCGGUGGUACCGCAUGGAAGGGCCAUCGCUCAACGGAUAAAAGCUACCCCGGGGAUAACAGGCUUAUCUCCCCCAAGAGUCCACAUCGACGGGGAGGUUUGGCACCUCGAUGUCGGCUCGUCUCAUCCUGGGGCUGGAGUAGGUCCCAAGGGUUGGGCUGUUCGCCCAUUAAAGAGGCACGCGAGCUGGGUUCAGAACGUCGUGAGACAGUUCGGUCCCUAUCCAGCGUGGGCGUAAGAAAUUUGAGAGGAGCUGUCCUUAGUACGAGAGGACCGGGAUGGACGCACCAAUGGUGUACGAGUUGUUAGGCCACUAGCAUGGCUCGGUAGCUAAGUGCGGGAAUGAUAAGUACUGAAAGCAUCUAAGUACGAAGCAUGCCUCAAGAUAAGAUUUCUUAGAGUAGGUAAAGAAAAUACCUUAGAUAGGUCCAAGGUGUAAGUGCAGUAAUGUAUUAAGCUAAUGGAUACUAAACUUUAAAUCUUGACUGG